CCGGGCUACAUACUGAAUUCGAAGGAUACAAGCAAAGUAUCGAUCCAAUCCUGUUAGUAUCGAUCCGAUACCAAUACUAGUGUUGGUAUCGACACUAUCGAUAUUUGGAUCGAUCCAUUCCGCCCACCUCUACCAGCGGGGGGCCUCUUCUCAAGAUGGCGGCCUGUCCUUGGUGGAAGAAGGAGUGCGAUACAUUUUUAUGACAACCGGGGUUUAAAGAAGAAACCGAGGUCAAAAAGUAGACUAAAAGGAAUUGUUCCACUAUGGUAAUUUGCGGAACCUCCAAGAAAAUCUAUGAAAAGAAAAGGACCGUCAAAGUCAAGAAUAAUAACGCUAAUUGGCUAGCUAACUAGCCGCUAACUAGCCACCAGUCAUACAUGCAGGGGGGCAGGGACGCCAUGGCUCCUCACCAGCUGGCUGUCAGCCUCCAGUCGGCGCCCUCCAUGAUCUCCCAGAAAGUGCAGUUAACUUACCAGCUGUUCUUGCUGGAAAAUGCCCGGAAUAAACUUGAACAAGACCUUCGCAACUUCACCAUCAAGCUGGAAAGCCAGUAAUUCAUAUGCUGAGCAGAACUGCAUUCCAGAUAUUGGAACCGUAGUAAUGGGUUGGUUCGCCGAGCGAGAACAAUGGUGCAGGAGCCAGGUGAUAAAGAUAUGUGGAGUGAGCAGAGAUGGUGCUGGGACAGAGACAUCCAUCAAGGUGGAAGUGAAAAGGUUGGACUAUGGUGACACUGCCUGUCUGUCACUGUCAAAUAUAAAGGAGCUGACCCCUGAAAUGGCUACUGUACCACUUCAGGCUGUGCAGGUUUCACUGGCUAAUGUGAUGCCUGUGAAUGGGAGAGAUUGGUCUGAAGAGGCAGUCGGCUGGUUCAAAGCGACUGUGCACAACAGGACCCUCUAUGCUAGGCUGUACCAACAGGAAGGCAAAGUUACAGUCGAGCUGUUCAUGGAGAAGGGAAAGCUCGGAGCCAUGAGGAGGGGUGCUUCAAUGUCUUUGAGACUGGCCCAAAAUGGACACGCCAUCCACAGCAAACUUAAGAAGACUAGUCUCAUUAAAAGAAACAGUGUUCAGCUUAAAGCCCAGAAACAGGACUCUGACUGGGAGAAGUAUCUCAUAUCAUGCUACACUCAAAGGAAGUAGUUCAGGUGUGUGUGUGUGUGUGCGUGUGUGCGUGCGUGUGUGUGUGUGUGCGUGCAUGUGUGUGUGUGUGUGUGUGAGAGAUUAUGUUGGUAUCCUUUUAUCCUAUUUGAAUGAUUGCACAACCAGUACUAAAGUUAAAAUGCAAGCUUACUGUACCAUGCAGCUCGAACAUAUAGUGUAUACCAACAUUGUUUAUAGUGUAAAACCUAAACGAGUAAAAUGUUUGAAUGAGGAACAAAAAUAUUCCGUUUAGACUGACCAUCUGUGUGCAACAUACAGUGGACUGAGUUGUCGCCAACUUGAAAGGCUAUACAAAGUUGAAAGGUAUUUGGGGAAAAAAUUAAAUGUAGAUUUAUAAAGGAUUGACUGGACUAGUACACAUUAAGUCGUGUGUGUGUGUGUGUGUGUAUAUAUAAGCUAUUUUGUGUAUUUUUAGUUCAUACAGUUAGAGCUGGAAAACUGUUUCAACUAAGCAUACAUUUAUGUUCUCUCUAAGAUGACUAAACGGGAAAUUUCUUUCAUCUUUUGUAUCUCAAGCUUUUCUUCUUUAUGUAAAGGGAAAGGAUACAAAACUAGUUUUGCUUGUUUUAUUUUGACUAUGUAAUUUGAAGAUAUUGGUUAACCUGUUCCCUUUCCUAGGUUUAAAAACAGAACUGUAUUUCAAGUCCUGAUUAUUUUUAGCCACUAGACGGUGCCAGCUCAGUCUGAUUACCCGCUCUCUAUUAAGUUGUAUUCCUAUCUAUAUUAUUACCUUAUCUGCAUGCUACAACAGGUCUUUUUUGGUUUUGUUUUUUAAAUGUAUAAUUUUUCUUUGAUAAUCAUCACUGAAAAGCUUUACUGACUUGAUUAUAUUGUUCUUAUGCAAUGGCAAACUUAUCUUUAUUUUUGCAUAUUUGCCUUUGAAAUAA
ensembl:lncRNA